rnacentral:ncRNA from 1 species
CGGUUAGUCGAUCCUAAGAGAUGGGGAAUCCUUGUAUCAAGGGUGCACUCUGCAUGAACAUAGAAAGAGAAUUGGGUUAAUAUUCCCGAACUAGGACAUGGUGGUGGACGAUAAUGUUUGGAAAUCUAGAGAUGUCAUCAGGGGCCUGGGAAGAGUUUUCUUUUCUUUUUAAUGACUUUCCCACCCUGAAAUUGGUUCAACCGGAGAUAGGGUCCAACAUCUAGAAGAGCACCACAUGUCUUGCGGUGUUUGGUGCCCCCUCGGUGGCCAUUGAAAAUAUGGAGAAUCGAGUACCAUCCAUGCCCGAUCGUACUCAUAUCUGCCUCCUUAG